UACGUAGGGUGCAAGCGUUUGUCCGGAAUUAUUGGGCGUAAAGAGCUUGUAGGCGGUUUGUCGCGUCUGCUGUGAAAUUUCGGGGCUCAACCCCGAACUUGCAGUGGGUACGGGCAGGCUAGAGUGUGGUAGGGGAGAUCGGAAUUCCUGGUGUAGCGGUGAAAUGCGCAGAUAUCGGGAGGAACACCAGUGGCGAAGGCGGCUAUCUGGACGAAUACUGACGCUGAGGCACGAAAGCGUGGGGAGCAAACAGG
rnacentral:rRNA from 1 species